GGCCUGUGAUGAAUAUCCUUAUUUUUCUGACACCUCGUAUGAGAGCUGUUCACAGCUUCUGAUUCGAUUGCUUUUUCUGAGGCCU
rnacentral:snoRNA from 1 species